AUUGAGUAUUUGAAUAUAUAGAGAUAUUUCACCAAUCAAUAUUUUUUUAUUUUAUUUAUUAUGUAGUUACUGUGAUGUGUAUUACAUCAUUUUUUAUUUUUAGCUUUAUUAUCACAGAAAAAAAAACUUGUGAUUGAAAACAUUUAAUGGAUUGUGGUAUAUGUGUGAAGUGAACAAAGAAAAAUUUGAAAACGAUAUCUGCAUUAGGCACUAAACUAUGCUAUAUAACCGUUAAAGAUGAAGCAGUCAUGAGUUAUCCUGACUACCGCAUAGAACUUUUUUUGAGGCGACUUAGUUCUUCUCACUACCACUGGCUUAUUUUUUGAUAUUUUUUUAUGAAAAUUUAACAGAAUAUGCUUGGAAUGAUGCUUAAUAUUGUCACGAAUUUUAAGACUUUUAAUGAAGAAGGUACUCAGAAAAAAAAAUCACAAAAAUAUGGCCUUUUUUUUGUAUCUCAGAUCCUUUUUCCCCCUGAAGAUCAGAAAACUUUUUUAUCUAGACAAGUUAAAAGUAAAGCAAAAUUUCAAACACAUCGCAAGGGUUCCUUAUUCUUGAAUCACUUAUUCAGUGAGCACAGACCGUGAGCACUGCUAUUUAAAAACUACAUUACCGAUUUAUUUCAAACUUGAUAAUCUCCAGCUGAGAUACACUGCUCACGCAAAUCAACUUUUUUUAAAGACGUUCUGGGAAAAGCUCCGUCACCGGCUUGGUUGCGGAUACUUUUACAUAAAAAAAUUACCUAAUGUUGUUGAAUAUAUACUUAAUAAUGUUCAAAAGGUUUUAAUGAAUUAGCACAAUCCAUACGCCUAAAAAAAGCAUUUUUUUCACGAUUUAGCCCCCCCCCCCCCCUUAAAUUGAACAAAAAUUUGGGAAGGAUCUAUUUUGCCCCCAAAUAUUUCGAGGUAUUAAAAAUUUCAAGGAGCCCAUUUUGACCCCGCCCCCUUUAUACACAAUUACAUGCGAAAAAUGGCCCAAUAUAAUCAUCUAUAAUUCUAUACAAUUAGAUAUAAUGUAUACAUUGUGCCACUUUCUAUAUAUAAUUAUAAAUAUUUACAUGUUAUUUUAUCUAACUAUAAAUGGAUAAUAUAUAUUUAGAUAUGAAUUGCAUAUAAUAAUAUAUAAUUUUUUUACCCGGACAUAACUGAGGCUUAAAAACAACUUACCGGUUUCUGAUUGUUCUACGGCACAUGUGUUACCUGUACAUUUGUUUGCCGCCACUGCAAAGUAUGAAAAUUUAUACGCCAAUACUUUACUUCCAUAAAAUUAAAUAAUUAAUUGAAUAUCAAAAGUCAAAAUUACUUACCAUCGC